AUAGCUUGUGGUUUAUGUUACUUUUUUUUUUUUUUUUUCAAGAUGCCCAAAUCUAUUUUUCUUUCUUUCUUUCGGGAUUUGGAAAGGUCUCGUUUGUCAAUUCAUAAAUGGAUUGCAGUCCCCAAGACUGCAAUAUGCUGGAGUGAUGUGACCAUAAAAACAUUCCUGGGGAAAGCAGAACUGUGUUGGAAAUUUCCUUCCUUCUGUUAUUUAACAAAAAGAGGUAUUAACAAGUAACUUCUGGUUAAUUUUUAAGUAGAUGGUUACAUAGCUUAUUAAAUGGCAUUAAUAUACAUUCAAGAAUUAAACGUUAAAAAAUGUCUAAUUAAGUACUGAAUUGUUCUACUGCCUACAUGAUGUGGGGAUUCUGAAAAGGGAGAAAUAAUAGGUAGUGGUUAGAAAACUAGAAGAUUAUCCAAAAAGUAUAACCCUAAAGAGUAGCAUUUGGAGAGGCAAAGAAAAGAAAGACAUGCUAUCUACAAGGAACACUGUAAGCAGAGGCUGACAACUCCAAAGUUCUACCUUUAGCCCAGAACCUUCUCCUGCAAUCUUUGGAAGAAGAUCUGCCACUUGUGACUUCUCCAAGAUUGAUGAGAAUCACUGACAACUGCAAAUUUGGGCCACUACAGUCAACAGUGCACCUCUCCCACACAUGGCACAUAUACUCAUAGACUGGUGGAGCUGGCCUCCCAGUUUACAGAAGAAAAACCAAGUCCAAAGAGGUAAAAUGACUUCUUGGUUUGGAGUUGAGUGGGGCUUGAGUUUGACAACCACUAUCUCUUUACUUUUAAAGUAAAUUUUCAGGGCUGAUAGCAAA